AGGUCUCCUUCCUCACAGCUCCAACGCCCUGUGCCUGCCGGCAGAAGCCAUGGGGGUUGACAGGGAGCAACCAGAAGGGGACACCAUGGAAGUCUGCUCUGCACAUACAGUGUCCCCUGCAGAGCCCACAGGGGAGCGGCCAAGGCCCAGACACAGAAUUCCUUCCACCAUCUGUUUUGGCCAAGGAGCAUUGCGAGGAUUUAAAAGCACCAAGAAAAGGACUAAACACUGAUGGUUGAGACAGAAACACCGAGGUCUGGUGACAGCCUGGGGUCAGCAGCCAAGCUCUCUUAAGUGUCCUGGGUGGGCAUCUUUGUGUCUUCACCAGGGAGGUAAAGGCGAGAAGCAGCAAAGCGCCCCAAGCCUUUGGGAACCCCAGUCAUGCGGAGCCAGCCAGGAGGGUCUCAAGUGAGGACAUGAGUUCGUAUGGGAGCUGGGAGCUAUGUCUGUUUUCAGCCAUGUGAUGGCAAAAUGUUCAGGGCAUCUUAGAGCCUGGAGUCCUGGGCAGGGCCACUCUACUCUGAGGAGUAAUGCUGAGAAAGGCCCGUGGCCAUCUUACAAGUCCUGUCUGUCCACACAGCUCAUCUGACGCCCACACAGGUGGGGAAGGGGCUUAGCUGUGAGCAACAUAUACAUGAGAAUACAGGCUUGCCACUAACCCUCACCUGCUGCUCACCACAGCUGCAAGUUCUGGGUAUGAAAUAGGACAGGUGACACCAGGCUGCGCUAGGACCAGCUUCACAGAUCUCCAGCCACAGUUGUAUUUUAGGGCUCCCUGCCCCAGAAAUUUGGACCCACCCCACUGAAAGGUCCAUAGGUAGAUGUGGAUCCCCAACAGGCUGCUACAGUCACUGGUGGGGACUGUAGUGGACAAGACAAAGUACUCCCCUGCAAGGCCAGAAAGGUUCCUCAGAGUAAAGCAGGAAUAAAGGCUGAGGGAAGAAUCCCAGGACUGCCUGAGUCCAAGCUCAUUCCCUGCCCAAACAUUAGUCACAGGAUGUCCCGGCAGAGAAAGUAGGGGAAACAUUUUGGAACGCCAACCUGCUGCUCUCCAUCCUCAUGUCGCCUAGAUCUCAAUGCCUAUGUAUGCCCUUAGCUCUCCUCCCUCUGGAGACACCAGUCUCCUGGCACGCACCUCACUCCUGACUUUCUUCCAAUAAAAGGUGUUUGCUUUCCUUUGG